CUUCAAAGAUACAAAAGCAGCAAUAAUAACAAUCUUUUUAAUUGUAAUCGUUCUUAAAUCUAAAAACAAUGGACAAUAACUGUUGUAUUCUUGACUUAAUAGAGGCAUUUUCAAAUGUAGAAAAUGGUGAAUUGAAUCUGGUUUUAUAGCGCUAAACCCCUCACUUUGUACGACAGUCUCAUCAAAUUCAAAGGCAUUUUAAUCAAAUUUAGCCAUUUCAAUGAUGUUAAUAGUGUGUCUUGUUACGUUAUGAUGAUAAACUACUGUUUCAUCCUCUAGUAUUACGGUUGACCUAUUAAAAUAUUUAAACCCGCUGAAUGCGUAUGCACCUAUCCUGAGUCAGGAACCUGUUGAUAAGAGGUUUUUAUUUGUUGGUGUGGUUCAAUGUUUUUCACGUUUUUCCCUUUUAAAUUGAAUGGAUCGUUUGUUUUCCUGUUUGUAUUGUUUUACAAUAGUCAUUGUGGUAACCUUUAUAGCUUGUUGUUCGGCGGGAGACAAGGCUCAGUGUUGAAGGCCGUACUUUAACCUAUAAUUGUUUACUUUUUUAUGGAGAGUUGUCACCUCUCUUUAUUUAUAUUUGUAUUUUAAAGGCUUAAGGAAUCGUUAAGAACAAGGAACAGUAAAUUGGCUAUGUCGCAGAUUUUGCUAAAAUUUGACAUACAACCGUGUCUCGAUGAACUAC
rnacentral:lncRNA from 1 species